AUUGAACGCUGGCGGCAGGCCUAACACAUGCAAGUCGAACGAGUGGCGGACGGGUGAGUAAUGUCUGGGAAACUGCCCGAUGGAGGGGGAUAACUACUGGAAACGGUAGCUAAUACCGCAUACCAUCGGAUGUGCCCAGAUGGGAUUAGCUAGUAGGUGGGGUAACGGCUCACCUAGGCGAUGAUCCCUAGCUGGUCUGAGAGGAUGACCAGCCACACUGGAACUGAUACACGGUCCAGACUCCUGCGGGAGGCAGCAGUGGGGAAUUUUGGACAGUGGGGGAAACCCGGAUCCAGCCAUCCCGCGUGUGCGAUGAAGGCCUUCGGGUUGUAAAGCACGUUUGGCAGGAAAGCGGUACCUGCAGAAUAAGCACCGGCUAACUACGUGCCAGCCGCCGCGGUAAUUC
rnacentral:rRNA from 1 species